UGCGUAGGCGGACCAAUAAGUCAGUGGUGAAAUCUUUCGGCUCAACCGAGAAACUGCCAUUGAUACUGUUGGUCUUGAGUUCGGUAGAGGUAGGCGGAAUGUGUAAUGUAGCGGUGAAAUGCUUAGAUAUUACACAGAACACCAAUUGCGUAGGCAGCUUACUAUGCCGACACUGACGCUGAGGCACGAAAGCGUGGGGAGCGAACAGGAUUAGAUACCCUGGUAGUCC
rnacentral:rRNA from 1 species